GUGGAACCAUUAAAGGGAACAUGGGACGGUCCUCGCCAGGUGAUAAUGACCACUUAUACGGCGGUGAAAGUCGAGGGAAUCGACAAUUGGAUCCAUUACACCCGAGUCAAGAAGGUUCCAGUCUCAUGGUCGGUAGAACCUCUCUCACCUACAAAGAUGGUAUUUCGAGCCAACAAUUGAAGAUUGUGGUAUUCCUGGGGUUGAUAAGUUUAGCAGAAACCACCGUGAGAAUUGAAACCCCAGAUCCUUAUUUGUUUGUACCAGAACACACUGAUGUAAACUUAACUUGUCUGUUUUCAGAUGACCAGGGAGCUGAAUUAAGAGAUGUCCACGUCAAGUGGAAACGGAGGGAUCAAGAUCGAAUCAUAACAGAAGGAGUGACAACAGUUUGGGAUGCGACACAACAAAAGGGUUAUACCGUCCUGCAGGUACCUGAGGUGUCUAAAACCGUAGAAGGGACAUACAUGUGUGUAGUUUGGAUUCAAAGGAGUUUUGAUUAUGGGUAUGUAGAAAUACACAUGAUAAACACAACUCGGGAAAUAAUGACUAAGAUACAAGUUAUACCCCCUAGGAAAACUCGACAUGUGAGAGAUCUGCAGAUUCCGAAUAGAGAAAUAGAACAGGAAAAUUUAAUUGUGGGCCUAAUUCGAGAUUUUGGGAAAGUACAAAACGUUACUAAAAUUACUGCAUGUCUCCCUAUGCCUCAUGCAGCAGGAGACCCAAUUCCAUGGGGAAUAAUUCCAGUGCCAGAAAUACCCAAAAUGUUUAAGAAUAUUACAAGGAAUUGCAAAUUUGUAACCAUCACAUGGAGCGAAACGGUAGAUGUAUGUUUAUUAAGUGACAAAAUGAUGAAGAAGCAAUGUGAACAGAUGCCGGGAUAUUUCCGAUGGGUAGUAAUUGGGACAUGGGUAACAAGUGAAACAAUUAAUGAAUUAAAAGGAUACUGUUUAGUUACAAAUUCAACACACCCAUGCUCUAAAGUUCCGGCUUCAGUAAAACGAGAAAAAACAAGAAGAGGUCUGUCAAAAUAUUACCAGUUCUACAACCAUGGAAGAAUGGCAAACAAUUUGGGGACCCAGCCUGCUAGAGACAUAUAGUUAUAUUGGAAAGGUACAGUGGUGCAUUCACUGGAAGGGGAAAAAGAAUCAAACUUAUUCUACAGGAAAUAGAGGGAAUCAUAAUUGGAGGACAGAAACACAUACAAAAGAGGAUUGGAAUUGUACCCGAAUAUACACAUGUGAUACCCCAGACGAUGAAAUAGGCUUAAUGCCAGUCAAAACACU
rnacentral:lncRNA from 1 species